rnacentral:rRNA from 1 species
CCUACGGGGGGCUGCAGUAGGGAAUCUUCCGCAAUGGACGAAAGUCUGACGGAGCAACGCCGCGUGAGCGAAGAAGGCCUUCGGGUCGUAAAGCUCUGUUGUCAGGGAAGAACAAGUAUCGGAGUAACUGCCGGUACCUUGACGGUACCUGACGAGAAAGCCGCGGCUAACUACGUGCCCGCAGCCGCGGUAAUACGUAGGUGGCAAGCGUUGUCCGGAAUUAUUGGGCGUAAAGCGAGCGCAGGCGGUCCUUAAAGGCAGAUGUGAAAGGGCCCGGUGAAACCGGGGAGGGUCAUUGGAAACGGGGGGACUUUAGUGCAGGAGAGGGAAGUGGAGUUCCACGUGGAGCGGUGAAAUGCGUAGAAAUGUGGAGGAACACCAGGGGCGAAGGCGGCUUCCUGGCCUGUAACUGACGCUGAGGCGCGAAAGCGUGGGGAGCAAACAGGAUUAGAUACCGCUGUAGUC